rnacentral:rRNA from 1 species
CUAAAUAACUGACCAGAUCGCUUCGGCCUUUGUACCGGCGACGUAUCUUUCAAGGGUCUGUUUUAUCAACUUUCGAUGUUAGUUUAUGGGACUAAAAGGGUUGUCACGGAAAACGGAAAAUAAGGGUUCGACUCCGGAGAGGGAGCCUGAAAAACGGCUACCACUUCUAGGGGGGGCGGCGGGGGCCCACUUACCCAUCCUCAGGCGGGGGAGGUAGUGACGAAAAAAACGAGACGAGCCUCUUGGAGUUCCGUCUCGGAAGGAAAACAAAUAAACCCUUUAACGGGGCCUAGCGAGGGCAAGCCGGGGGCCGCGCCCGGGUAAUUCCGCUCGCCAGUGUAAUCUUUGCGGCGGCGUUAAAAGG